AGCACCGAGACACAGCCGGUAUUUCUUUGUUUGUUGUGAAGCGGAGCAGUUAAGCGAACAUAUUUUCUCUACGUCAACCAGCAUGUUUUUGGAUGGGGAAAUUGUGAUACAUAUCUUACCAGAGAAAUCAUUGGAUUAUUCGUCGUCCUGCAGCAGCUGUGAGCUUGGCUCCUCGGCUUCUCUCUGAGACACUUCGUGUUCACCGCAGCCAUCCGACCUCAAGGAGACAGAUGGGCUGCUGAUGUUGAGGUGAGGGAAUUUGGCUCGCAGGUUCCUGCUCUGGGCUCUGGAAGCGAAGGAGACAAACAAGAUGUUUCAUUCUGUCACAGUCGGCGCACCGUAUCGCUCUCAUCGCCUAAGGAAAGUUGCCACCUUAUGCACUCCGCUUCUCCGCCUUAUGCACUGCCGGUUCUCUCCGUCUCCUUUUUCAUUCACAACUUCUUUCUGUCAGUCUUGGAGAAGUUAAUCCAUGCUUCCUCUUUAUUUAUUUAUUUUUUGGCAGCAACCGAGAUAUUUUAAGUUUGGUAUAAGGUAGAGACAUGGAUCCCCUUGUUCUAUUUUUGCUGUUUUGUCCCUUUCAACUCUCACUUUUCCAACCUGUCACAACAGGAACACUUUUUUUUGACACUUUGUGUUCCCUCAACUUUUGUCUCUCGCUCUACCUAGGCUCAUUCUAUUGCAUUUGACAUGAUGCCAGAUGCAUAACAAUAUAGCAAACCACAGACACGGUACUAUUUUGCAUAGGACAUUUAUGGCCUGAUUUACUACGAUUUAAAUACUAUGCGAUAAAAAGCUUAUGCAACGUAUAAAAUUGCAUGUAUUAUUAGUGGGCGUUUUGCGAGUGAUCUAAGACUGUGUGCAAUUGAAAAGUUUUGCAGACAAUGAGGCUUUUGGGUUUACUAUACGGGGCAUCACCACGGAGAAACUCAUUUACUGCACAUUCAUGUUAUGCUAUUGUGUUUUUCUAUAUUUUCAAACAUGCAAGAGACAUCUACCACUUUUUAUGGGCAUUUUAGAAGCAGUGCAUUCUCUGCACAACUGUGCUCAAGACGCAAAAAAAAAUGCAUACUUCAAGAAGUUUUUAUCAUAUAGGAUAUAUGUUAGUAAUAUACAGUAUGUGAAAAACGAACAUUAAAAAAAAAAUUAACACAUCGAUUGAAUUUCUUUUUAAAUCAGCCCCUUAGUAGGCCAGCAACUAUUAAGUUAAUAAAGGAUGUUGCUGAAUAAACAAUAUGUGUAAUAUACUUCUGUCCAAAUAUUCUUAUUCAACCAUGAAUUGAUUAACAUCGACCCCGACUUAAACAAGUUGAAAAACUUAUUCGGGUGUUACCAUUUAGUGGUCAAUUGUACGGAAUAUGUACUGAACUGUGCAAUCUACUAAUAAAAGUAUCAAUCAAUCAAACGUAGGACGGAGGAUACUCUGUCCAUCGUGUGUCUGUGCAAAAAUAGUGCUACCAAACCGAUGAUGAUUGUUGAUAAAUCACAUUGCGUGUGUGAUAGAUAAUUAUAUUUGCAUUUUAUCCCCCCAGUUUUGUUGAUCAUAUAUUUUGGAAAAUAGUAAAGACAGAGAUGCGAAAUGGAUCGCCCCCCCCCCUUAUUCUGCUCACUUAACAGACGCAAUCAACUUUGAACACGUUAAGUAGAUCGGCUUUGCAUUUGCUAUUAAGUUUGCACGUGUUUUAAUACACGCAAACCUUUAGUAAAUUAGGCCCUCAGUGUUUAAAGGUGUGCACGCCUAUUGCCUUUAAACAAUAUUAUUGCCAGCAUUAUAUGGAGACAACUUGCAUGUAAUAAAAAACAAAACAAAUCAAAAGGCAUUGUUCAGAAUUGUAUUUUGUAUUUAUUUAUUAUUUGUAUAUGCAAUUUUUAAGUAUGAGCUUGUGCACCAUUUAAACACUGUCUCAAAAUGACCAAUGGAGCACCAAUAUCGGUUGGAAUGUUAACACCCAUUCUAAUGACAUGUUCACUGACGCUGGAAGUGCUUUGAAUGUGUGUGUGUGCGUCACAUCAUUUCAUCUUCUUUCUAUCUUUCCAUGUUCUUCUUGUUGCAGCACUGUAGUCUCCUCUUGGAUUAAUUUGUGCAGCAGAGCUAAAUAAAAAGCAAAUGACCUACAUAAA